rnacentral:rRNA from 1 species
GACGAACGCUGGCGGCGUGCCUAAUACAUGCAAGUAGGACGCACAGUUUAUACCGUAGCUUGCUACACCAUAGACUGUGAGUUGCGAACGGGUGAGUAACGCGUAGGUAACCUGCCUAUUAGAGGGGGAUAACUAUUGGAAACGAUAGCUAAUACCGCAUAACAGUAUGUAACACAUGUUAGAUGCUUGAAAGAUGCAAUUGCAUCGCUAGUAGAUGGACCUGCGUUGUAUUAGCUAGUAGGUAGGGUAAUGGCCUACCUAGGCGACGAUACAUAGCCGACCUGAGAGGGUGAUUGGCCACACUGGGACUGAGACACGGCCCAGACUCCUACGGGAGGCAGCAGUAGGGAAUCUUCGGCAAUGGGGGGAACCCUGACCGAGCAACGCCGCGUGAGUGAAGAAGGUUUUCGGAUCGUAAAGCUCUGUUGUUAAGGAAGAACGAGUGUGAAAAUGGAAAGUUCAUACUGUGACGGUACUUAACCAGAAAGGGACGGCUAACUACGUGCCAGCAGCCGCGGUAAUACGUAGGUCCCGAGCGUUGUCCGGAUUUAUUGGGCGUAAAGCGAGCGCAGGCGGUUAGAAAAGUCUGAAGUGAAAGGCAGUGGCUCAACCAUUGUAGGCUUUGGAAACUGUUUAACUUGAGUGCAGAAGGGGAGAGUGGAAUUCCAUGUGUAGCGGUGAAAUGCGUAGAUAUAUGGAGGAACACCGGUGGCGAAAGCGGCUCUCUGGUCUGUAACUGACGCUGAGGCUCGAAAGCGUGGGGAGCGAACAGG